rnacentral:rRNA from 1 species
UACAGAGGUGGCAAGCGUUGUUCGGAAUUACUGGGCGUAAAGGGCGCGUAGGCGGUUCGUUAAGUCCUGUGUGAAAUCCCCCGGCUCAACUGGGGAACUGCACAGGAAACUAGCGGGCUUGAGUUCGGGAGAGGGAAGCGGAAUUCCGGGUGUAGCGGUGAAAUGCGUAGAUAUCCGGAGGAACACCGGUGGCGAAGGCGGCUUCCUGGACCGACACUGACGCUGAGGCGCGAAAGCUAGGGGAGCAAACGG